AUGCAGAGGGACCGUGGAGAUGCUGCUGAUGCCUUUGCCCAGGCCCCCAGGAGCUCCCCCCACAAAGGGAAGCGCCUCAAAGAAAUAAUCUACAUCAAGGAAAAGAGUUGUGCAGGAAGAAAAGGAUUCAGUGGAGCAGAGCUGAAGACCCUACCUCGCCGCCCACCCUCCAGCACCCGCUUCAGUGGGAGACUGAAGCCCGUGGGCAGGGGUGUGCACUCGACUGGCGGCUGUCUUGGGAGUCGAACUGAAAACAGUGCGUGUGCGGCCGGUCUACGUCCACACCAGCUACCAUCCUGCUUUGCAUUUGCUGGAUGCUGGGAUUGGCGCUGUCCUUCAUGAUCUCGUUUGAUCCUCCCAAGAACUGUGAGAACAGCCACUCGCCUCUCUUCCAGGUGAAGGAUGCGAAGCUCGCCAAGCACAGGUGACUUGCCAUGAGGGGGCAGAACUGGGACUAGAACAGGCUUAUCCAGCCUGGCCUCACACCAAGCAACCAUUCACCCUUCCUCCUCAUUAACACAGCCCAGGCUCCAGGGGAUAAAUAGUGAUGAGUGUAAGCCAGUCAUACCAACCUCCUGCUCUUUUGCUGGUGAUUGGUCUAGGGUGACGGUGUGACCCAGGCCUGCCAGUGAAAUGUAAGGGGAGUGUCUCUGAGAGCUACUGAGAAGUUCAAGGAAAAAUCUGUUGUGCUUGCAUCCCAUUUCCUUUUGCUUGGUGCACUGUCACAUGAGGGUGUGAGGCUUGGAGCUGCGGCAGCUAUUUUGUGCCCAUGGGGAGCAACCUCUCCCAUACUAGGGUGACUCAAAGUGUAAUUUGAUUUCGCAGGAUGCAGGACUUCCAGUACUAAAUCUAGGAAAGCCUUGGGCAACAGGAUGAUCAGUCACCUUAAAUUGGUGGCAUGGAAGGAUUGGGCCCUUGCCAACAUCCUUGAGCUGCCAACCAGUUCUGGAACUCCUACCCUCUGGAUUUUUUAUUAUACAAACAAUGAAUGACUUUACGGUUUAAGUCUCUGUUUUGUUACUUGCAGCUGGCAUCACAGGCAUGAGAGUGCGCACCUCCCAUCCUUUUCACCUCUUGCUUUUAUGGUGUUGCAAGCACUGUGCCCCCAGCACCCAUGUCUGCUAUCAGCACUGCCUUUAUCCUGUUGGGCACCUCCUGGAGGCUGCCUGCCCCCAGGGCCUCCUGAGCUGCUCUGCACCCACACC
rnacentral:lncRNA from 1 species